UUUGAGGUUGAGUUUCGGUUAGGGUGAGGAGAAGUGUUUUUCUUCUUUGAUGGAGAGGUUUUUGUGUGAAGGUAUCAGAGUGAGGAGAGAAAGUUUGAGGUGGAGGGUUAACUGGAUCGUGCCUGUGGAUCCGGAUAACCCGGUUUGGAUCCGGCCCCCUUUUGGGCUUUGUGGGGCGACCACACGUCCCCUUCCUUUUAGCU
rnacentral:lncRNA from 1 species